rnacentral:rRNA from 1 species
AUUGAACGCUGGCGGCAGGCCUAACACAUGCAAGUCGAGCGGAUGAAGGGAGCUUGCUCCUGGAUUCAGCGGCGGACGGGUGAGUAAUGCCUAGUAAUCUGCCUGGUAGUGGGGGAUAACGUCCGGAAACGGGCGCUAAUACCGCAUACGUCCUGAGGGAGAAAGUGGGGGAUCUUCGGACCUCACGCUAUCAGAUGAGCCUAGGUCGGACUAGCUAGUUGGUGGGGUAAAGGCCUACCAAGGCGACGAUCCGUAACUGGUCUGAGAGGAUGAUCAGUCACACUGGAACUGAGACACGGUCCAGACUCCUACGGGAGGCAGCAGUGGGGAAUAUUGGACAAUGGGCGAAAGCCUGAUCCAGCCAUGCCGCGUGUGUGAAGAAGGUCUUCGGAUUGUAAAGCACUUUAAGUUGGGAGGAAGGGCAGUAAGUUAAUACCUUGCUGUUUUGACGUUACCAACAGAAUAAGCACCGGCUAACUUCGUG